UUUUUAAAAUUUAAAUUCAUCGUAUUUAGAAAUAAAACUAUUUCUAAAAUUUCUAUAAUUUAAAUUAAUGCAUAAUUUGAGAAACACUAAAACAUUUAAAGUAGAUUCCUAAAUUAAUGCCUAAUAAUUUCAUAAAUUUGGUUAAUCAAUUAAUUUCCUAAAUUAGUACUAAUUAAUGCAUAAAUUUAGGACCUCAAUUAAAAGUUUCUUUAAAUAUUGUAUUAUUUAAUUACCAAAUUAACCUUGAAUAAAAUAAUCCUUUUAUCUGCUAAGUAUUAAAGUUACAUUUUUACCCUCUAUUAAUCAACGGUUAAGAUCUUUUUUAUUUAUUUUUUUAAAAAGUACCGAAUCAUUUCUCUUCAAUUAAAGGUAUCAUCAAUAAUAGUAUCUAUUCCUCUGUUGGCCAAAACUACUGUUGUCACCCCUCAAUUCCAUAGCAGAAGCUCACGAGAUCGACAACAUACCGCCGUAUGAUCCUACACUUCCGGGCACCCACAAAGCCUUCUGGGCUUUCGAAACUACUCUUAAACUCAAGUUUUACCUAACUUUAAUUUUCAAGUUCGUUUUCGCGUCUAUUUUGCUAGUCAGUCCAACACUCUCCAGAAAUGCUAGUCAGCAUCCCAUAUUGCAACCUUGCAAUUUGUGAAAGUAUGGUAUUUUACACCUCUAUCUCUCAUGGUUCCAUCUUCCUUUUAUAGCCCCGGGAAUCAAAUAUGGAGCAGCUAUAAUUGUGAGAUUACUACACUCCUUUCAAAAACUGCUAUCUAAUCUCAAGCGUAUCGUCUACUGUUUGAACUUCAAAUUCUUCGGCGCACAUCUAGUUGUGAAUUUUCAGGCCUCCCCAAAGGUUCUAUCGGAAAUCACUUUUUUGCGCAUCCUAUCUUAUCAAAAUCAAGGUCUUUUGCCAAAGCCGGUCUCUAGCUGAAACAACCAUUAGCACAACAGUCCAUUGAAACUUAAGCCUUAUAUCGAAGCCCUUUUUGACACUACAUAUUUAAUUUUCUCGAAUUCGUCCUUUUCUGGGUAACAAAAUUAGGUGUUAGCAGUAAUUUUUUUAUUAUUAUUCUCGAUUAUUUGAGACCCAUGUAAUAGGAUAAAGACUAUCCUAUAGCAUAUAAAUUGCACUUAUUAAUUCUAUCAAACUGAUAUGCAUUCUAGAAUGAGAAAGCUCGUUCAAGAAUAAUUUAGUAAUCUUUAAUUAGAAAUAAAAUGGACAAAAGUUUUUGUACUUGUAUAUUUGCAUAAGGUAAAAUUAUUUGAUUUAAUGAUAUCUUUCUAAUUUUUAGGCACAGAACAAUACUAGCUAUUUGACACAUAGUUAGUUAAUUCGCGAUUAAUACGCGAAUUAUACGCGUAUUUUUUAAAAUACGAAUUAAACGGCGAAUUUCGUAUUUUUUCCAAAAGUUUGAAAAAAAACGCGAUUUUUUCGUCAAAAAUCAUUAUUCGCGAAUUAAUCGCGAUUCGCGAACAAUUCGCCCAAAAAAUCGGAUAUCGCGGUCGCGGACUUGCGGCCGAGGGUCGCAUCGUCGCCGUUCUUGUCACCGCUCGCGUCGCCGCCGCUCUCGUCGCCGCUAGCGUCGUCGCCGCAGCUCUCGUCGCCGCUUGGGUCGUCGUCGUCCUCCGCCGCCCUCGCCGGCGCCGGGAGCAAGGGCCGCGGCGGCGGAUCCCAUCUCCUCGCCCGAGUCGUCUCCAAAAUGGGAAAGAUGAACAGUAAAAAUUAUCGGGGCUUUNCAAAAACUGCUAUGUAAUCUCAAGCGUAUCGUCUACUGUUUGAACUUCAAAUUCUUCGGCGCACAUCUAGUUUUGAAUUUUCAGGCCUCGCCAAAGGUUCUAUCCGAAAUCACUUUUUUGCGCAUCCUAUCUUAUCAAAAUCAAGGUCUUUUGCCAAAGCCGGCCUCUAGCUGAAACAACCGUUAGCACAACAGUCUAUUGAAGCUUAAGCCUUAUAUCGAAGCCCUUUUUGACACUACAUAUUUAGUUUCCUCGAAUUCGUCCUUUUCUGGGUAACAAAAUUAGGUAUUAGCAGUAAUUUUUUUAUUAUUAUUCUCGAUUAUUUGAGACCCAUGUAAUAGGAUAAAGACUAUCCUAUAGCAUAUAAAUUGCACUUAUUAAUUCUAUCAAACUGAUAUGCAUUCUAGAAUGAGAAAGCUCGUUCAACAAUAAUUUAGUAAUCAUUAAUUAGAAAUGAAAUGGACAAAAGUUUUUGCACUUGCAUAUUUGCAUAAGGUAAAAUUAUUUGAUUUAAUGAUAUCUUUCUAAUUUUUAUGCACAGAAUAAUACUAGCUAUUUGACAUGAUCUCUCUGAAAUCAAAGGGAACUCCAAAGUUGAAGAGGCUAGCUAUUCAAAUCUAUGAUAGUUUGAAGGAAUUUUUUUUAAAAAAAAAAUUCCUUUGACAUAAAGAUGGGUUUUAGGAUUGUGAUCCUUAGUGCACCGGGUGCAUGCAAUAACUUUUGUCGUCCUGAACGGUUAGUAGGGGCGGAAUCCGCAUUUGGCGGCCAGGGAAGGGUCACGGAAAACCUGGGACGUUCAGUAGAUGUUUAUGGGAAUCAGAUUGAGGUGGCGAGUGUGGUGGUAGCCCACUAAGAGCUCAUGAGCGACGACAAGAUCAAGCUCCGGCCUUACCUACCACGCUACACAGAAGAAGUGGGCAUGGGAGUGGGUGGCAACGACUGCUAUGUUUGUGUGUGGGCCCGUCGAGGGAUGGGCUCAACUACUAGAAUUCUGACACGUGCUUCUUCCUGGCAGGAUAUAUGAAAUAAGUGUAUCUAUAUAUUAAUAUAUAUCUAAAGUGGGUGGAAGAAGAUAUGGAGAAGACGUAUGAUAUGGACACAUAUUGUGUUGGCUAAUUCGGUGCACCCGGUGCACCAUAAACCAUACCAAGUGGCCGGAGAAGAUGCGGAGGAAACACAUGUUGUGUUCGUUAAUUCGGUGCACCCAAUGCAUCGUAAACCAUACCCAAAUAUCAUAAACUUUAAUCAAUUAAUAAACUAAAAUUUUAUAACAUUUAAUAUAUAGACAUUUUGAAUAUCAGAAAAUGCAUUUAACAAAGCCACAUUUAAUAUACUAUAAAAUAAAUUUAGUUAAUUAAAUUUUAUUUUAAAAUUUUACUUUUUAUAUUUCUAUCAUACAAAUUUACUAAUAAAUGCCAUUAUAAAUAUGUGUUCAAUACAUAUAUUUAACAGUAAUAUAUACUAUAUGUUACAAAUAUAAUUAAGAAUAUUUUUAUCGAACCCACAGCAAAACGCGGCUUUAUUGCUAGUGUAUAUAUAUACAGACAGAGCAGAGGACCAUGUAAAAUUAAGGUUCAACGUACGACUACAAAUUUAUUAUUAUUGGCUCAAAUGUGCCAGCAUUUUACCUUGUAGCUGGAGGCUUAGUGAGCCGAAUCACGUUCGAAAUGUUGUGAGACCGGAUUUGGCCAAGUCAUAUCUGAAGUGGUGUGAGGUUGAUUGUGCUGAAUCACAAUCGAGAUUCGUGAAUGCUGUAUCUAUAUUUUAAGUGAAUUGGUUGCGUAUUUCUAACAAUUCGAGCUUUUGAAAUUAAUGGUUAAUGCCAACGAUCGAGUUUUUAGGAUUAACGGUUAGCACCAACAAUCCGACAAUUACAAUUUUGUUACGCAAUGUAUUCCUAUUUUAUUUACUACCAAGUUAUUCCAUUUUCUAUCAUACUAGUUAAUUUUCUCCGUCCAACUUCCACGUCUUAAACUUAGUUUCCACGUCAAUCACAGUUCCAUAGUUUAUUUAAUUUUCAGCAACAAAAUGAAUGAAAGUGUUAAAAUCUAUCUUUUAUAGACUUUCUCCAAUAAAAUCAAAUAUUUAGUGUUACACUACCAUCCAAAAUUUUAUCACUUUAUAUACAACAGAUUUUAUCACUUUAUACAACAGUCGUGAUUAACACAAAUGUCUACGAGCUAAAAUUCUCUUUGGUUCCUAUAGACUCUCCAAAACACAAAAAAAAAAGAAAAGAAAAGAAAAGAAAAGAAAAAAGAAAGAUGAUCAUAAGACCUCAAUUUUUAAGGCUAUUUUAUAAUCACAUAUAACCGGUCAACAAAAGAAAUUUAAAAUUAGUGAGUACACAGUUAUAACAAGUAGAAAAUUCGUAGGCCCUCAAAAGAAUUUGUCAAAGGGAUCUCAUACAUUUCCCACCUUGGAAUCGUUCAGUGUUUUUUCCUUUUUCUUUUUCCUUUAUAUAUCUCAUGUUGUUUCUCAGACUAAUUCCUCUUGCUUCUCCAGUUGUUCAAAUUACCACGAAAGCGUACGUUUCAAGUAAUUUAAGAGAAAAUAUACACCCACCUGCUAGUGCUGUGGGUGUGUACAUUGGGAGGGCUAACUUGGAGGUUCGAGGUCUCGGGUAGGUACUUUGGGAAUUUAAUCCCCGCCCUCUCACGGGAAGGGGUGUAAACGAGCCGAACACGAGCGAGCUGGGGUCGGCUCGUGUUCGGCACGAGCUGGCUCGUUAAAGUAUCAAACCGAAAAAUUCAGCUCGUGUUCGGCUCGUUUAUUAACGAGCCGAAUACGAGCCGGCUCCCGAGCUUGCCACGAACAAUAAAUUAAAAGAAUUAGAUUAAAAUAUAUAUAAAAAUAAAUUAUCAAAUCUUAUCUAUUAGACUUUGAUCAAUAAUUGAAACUUACAUAUAAAUAAGUCUUUUUAUAAUUAAGCUCGUAUUUUUAUUUUUAUUUUGCUAAAAAUAAAAUAAUAAAAAUAUAUAUUAUAUAUAAUUAUUUUUUUAUAUAUAAAAAUAUAAAUUAAAUAAUUUAUAUAAAUAUAAAAUAUAUGUAUUCGAGCUAUUAUCGAGCCGAACACGAGCGAGCUGACCCCAGCUCAUGUUCGGCUCAUUUAUUAAACGAGCUGAAAAAUUCAACUCGUGUUCGGCUCGUUUACUAAACGAGCGAGCCGUUCUCGAGCUCAUUUUGAGCCGAACACGAGCUAACUCGCGAACAACGAGCUGGAUUGCCACCCCUACUCAUGGGUGGGCUUCGGGUAGGUGCGUGCUUGCCUUGCUGUGGGAAGGCUUAGCGGGACUAUGGGCCAUCAAAUGAAGAUUAAAAAAAAAUUAAUCUUUUUUUUAAAUAAAAGGAGAGCAAUGCAAAGACCCCUUGAACUUUAUCAUUUUUCAUAAACUGACAUUUGAACUUUUAAUUUUGAUAAGCACUUUAAACUUUAUUAAAUAGUUUAAUAAAUUAACUUACUCUCUUUGGUCCAAGUUACUAGUUACGUGGUCGUUUUGGUCCGUUACAUUGUAUGUAAUUUUGUAAAGAUUAGAAAUACAAAGAAAUAUAUUUAUUCCCUUGUUACGCACCAAAAAAAUAAAUAAAAAUUGAAGAUAAAUUUGCUGUAUUCUUAAAUUUCAGAUAUUUAAUUAUCAUCACUAAAAUAGAAAAAAAUAGAUUUUUUACUUUUCUUGAUGUUAUACAAAAUUAUAUUAUAGUGUUCUGCAACUCAGUAGCUCGGUCAGGAUACAGCUUAGAUAAUUGUUAGCAAGUUUGUAAGGUGUCGGGUCGAACUAGAUUUGUUUUAGCACGAAACGGACGCCAAAAUAUACUGGAAACCUUGCCUGCUAAAACUGAAAUUUCUAUAGGUUUCGAAUGCCCAGAAAGUAUUUAAGGAACCUGUAAGUCCUGUGCAGUUUUUGAUGUUACUUUGGACCCUAUUUCCGGAUGCUCGAAAAGACUGUAGCCAUUCGAAUUCGAGAUUGUGGCAAUCGGACCAUAGGCUCGACAGGUAUAGAGUGACAUACAUGACUUUCAAAUGCCAGGUUUUGGGUGCCCGAAAGCUUUUGGGCGCAGCUACAUGAAUCCGAGCUUCUCACCAAACGCUCGUGGAAUCUUCCAAGCAGAGUUAUGAUGCAUGGGCUAGGAUGCCCGAAAGCUCGAUUUGAUUGCCCAAGCCUAUGAAAUGAACGGGAGGGUUGCCCUUCACCUCUUUUUCACUGUUGAAUAACCAAAAACUCAUUGUACCCUUCUUCAUCUCCUGCUCCUUCCAUUCUCUUUCCUUUUGCUGGCACUCGAACUGUAGCAGAGGUCAGAAAAGCUCGGCUGGUGGUAAUUAAAGCUGCUUUGCUAAGGCUGGUCAUUGGGGACUUAUUCAUUGCAAUGAGAUAGGUGAAUUUAUUGGUCCUAUUAAAUUUUGGAAUGAGAUUUUGGUCGUGGGAAUUUGGAGAAAAUUUUGACUCAUGUUUUAGCAGUGUGCGGUUGCCGGUUGGAGUUUGUUCCUAAAGUGUUCGAUCAGAGUUCUCUUGUUUUUUUUUUUUUUUUUUUUUUUUUUUUUUUUUGUUGAGAAAAGGUAACACGCUACCCGCUUCAUUCAUUAAGAAAGUUGAAUUAAGCAUACAAGGUGGAAGGAGCCGAGGCCUCCAGAAAAAGCGAGAUAAAACAAAGCAGGGAAAAGAGAGAAGAAAAGAAAAAAAGAAGUCACGGUCCAGUGCGGGCAACCGAAGUUCAGCUAUCUAAUGCUGGCCAAGAUCGAUCCAAUCCCGCCUUAGUGAUUUGAUUCGAUCAAGCAUCUGAUAAGGUGUGGUGUAUAUCGCUCUAAAAAUGAUGUUGUUCCUUUCGGUCCAAACUACCCACCAGAUAGAUGCAAGAAGGGUUAGUCCCUUAAUUGUCUUCUUGGCGUUUUCGCAGUGUAGACACCUUUCCCAUAGUUCCCGGGCCGCCUCCAAAGGCUCAAUUAAAAUGUCGAGUUCAUCCAAGACUAGUAGUAAAUAUCUGAAUAACACACAGGUACUGAAGAGGUGAUCGCAAGUUUCCCUGGCAUUGGCACAGAAAACGCAAAGCUGCUCACCAAGCAACCCCCGGUUGACGAGCCUAUCCGCAGUGAGAAUUCUCUUCCGAAGUAGAAGCCAGAUGAAAACUUUGGUUUCAAUCGGAAUUUUCGUUCUCCAAAUAGAUAUGCUCGUCGAAUCUCUCAUUCCUGUGUCCAUGAGAAACAAGUAGAGGGAUUUGACGAAGAAUUGCAUAUUUGCUGUCCAACGCCAGUGGACGCAAUCAGGCCUGCUGAGAGGUUGGACGUCCUGUAAUGCGUUCUUCAGCUCUAAUAGACUUCAGCGCCUAUCUGCAGUAUGGUUCGCAGCAAAUCCGCGACAAAUGAAACGCUAACUCUACCCAUUAGUAUUCCAGCAAUGAGACACACUAACAUCCUUGUUUCUAACAUUGUCGUAGAUUUCUGGAAACUGAGUGCGUAAGGAGGUUUCUCCUAACCAUAUGUCGGACCAGAGCCUAAUAUCUCUACCGUCUCCUAUCUUAUGGAUUGUACCACAUUUGGAGAUGUCUCUGCAGAACAAUACACUCCUCCACCAUUAAGAGUGAGGGAGGAAGGAUCUUCCUUCAUGAAGAGGUGUUCGUCUAGUGUAGUAUAGAGACCUAAUCAGUUUGUUCCAAGGCGUUGAUGGUUUGUUGAAGAAGCGCCACCACCAUUUGGUUAAAAGCAUCAGAUUCAUAGCUUCAAGAUCCUUAAUCCCUAGACCUCCGUCUCGUUUACUUUUACAUACUGUUUUCCAGCUCACUAGGCAGGCCCCUCCUUUGACUUUCGAGUUGCCUUUCUGUCACGCCCGGGUACCAGCGGAAGCAUAGCCGGCACGUGCACAGACCCGCCAUACACCUGCAGUAUAUAAGGCGUCUACAAGCAGCAAGUCGAUAGGAAGUAAAACAAGAAAGUCCUAUCCUGAUAUCAGAGCAAAGUACAAGUCGAUAUACAACGAGUAUCCAAUCCAAGUCAAUAUACAAAGAGUAUACAAUCCAAGAUCUCAGCAAAAAGGAGAAGUAACACCACUAUAAUCUCAACCCCGAAAGUAAAAUAUACAUCAUGGGUAUACAAAAAGAAUAGGUACAACGGUGGUCUCUCUAUACAUAGGGACAUCACCCUCGGCCGUAGCCCGAGUAGCAAGGUGAUCGACUAGCACGCUCCUAGUAGUCCCUAGCUAGGCGCGACUCCCUUGCCACGAUCCCUAGCCUCUCCUGUAGAUGGCUCUGUAAAAACAACCACCAAAAGGGCGUGAGAACUAUUAACAAUAGUUCCCAGUGGGUAAGCCGCCAGCCUCGGCGAAUUACACCACUAGGCUCAUGAUGUACUGAAAUAAAGAAAAGCAGUAACUGCAUGAUAUAUAAGUAUGCAAUGCUAACAGAUAGUGAGCAUACCUUUCCAUUGCUAAGCAAUUAAUAUGCAUGUAAACAACAUGUAAUAACAUGUAAUAGCUUUCUACAGUCAUGAAUCAUUUGCAUAAUAGGAAUAUGGCAAUCUUUAUAAUCAUGAAUAUAGACAUGAUUAUAAGCACAAACAUGUAAGUGACUACUGUACACUUCAAUUAAUAAGCAUUCAUUACUGUCCUUUCAUUCACAGGGACCUACCCAAGGUAGUCCAGCUUGCGCCGCGCCUAAUGGCCCCGUGGUAGUAUACACUCCCCACGGCAAUCCACUUCGGCACCCAAUCCCGCACGGGCGAGCAACUGUCGCAUAGGCCAACUCCGGAGUGCCGGCUUGUAGGGAGCUACCCUCACAAGCGUGUGCGAAUGAGCACGAUGGCAAGCAAGCAAAGUCCAAAGCUCAAUACGUCUCACUCAUCACUUACCAACUGGCAUUGUUCUUGCUCUCGAUCCUUUGAUCGGAAUCUCAAUCUCAAUAUAACAAGUAUUGAUAACAGCUAGUAUCCACUAGAUUAAUAUACAUGCAAGAGUAUUGCUACUUUACAUCAGGCAAUAUACACAUAAGCAUAAGCAUGUUGUCAUUCUCUACGUUAGAGUCAUGAAUGUGUCAUAAGGAUGUCCUGGUUUUCUAUUUUCUAGAAACAUGAUAACUUGUCCAUUAGUCACUCAACCAAAUUAAACAUGUAUAUAUAAAGACUUAUACGCAUGAGUAUUCUCUACUUCAUAGAGAUUUCAAUUCAAUUAUAUAGAUCAACACGAUAAUCUAGUGACUCGUCACAAGUUCUAUAUCAAUCACAAAAUCAUACAACGGUAUCAAUUCUAUAGCACAUAUAGAACAUAGGGGAGCUCCACUUGCUCUGGUUAGGUCAAACCCACCUAGUACUAGGCUCCAAAUCAGUUCAAGGAGUCCCAAGGAUCAGCUCCACUAGGUCAAUCCUGCUGAACACAAACAUCAAUACCGCGUCAAAAUUACGACCGGAAUAUCCGAUUUCGGCCUAAAUUACGCUUCAUACAAAGGCAUCCCGUAAAUCCCUAUUUGGGCUAGUGGAAUACCUCAAGUGUAACCUCCAAGAGUCCUCACAAGGCAGUCGAAGACGAUCCAAGGCUCGAUCGCGAUCUCGCUGCGAACAAUACCAAAACGACGUCAAAAUGUAUGUAUACACGCUUAUAUGGUUCAAUUCUUGCGAAACUGGAUUUCCAACAGAAAUUCCUGCAUACCCUUGGUUAGAACACCUUCCAAACCAGCUUCUAAGAGUACAAGUUCAGCUCAACGAGACUCGAAGACCUGCUGCGAAGAAAAAAUUCCAAAUUACAUCAAUAAUCCACGUAUAGUUCCGAUUAAGCUUCAUACAUGGCUAAAUAUUCCACUUAAGCUUCAAAGUAGCUUAUCCCUGGUCUAAGAAGGUUAAUUCACAGCUAAUUAACUCAUCUUUAAUUGCUGAAAUCUCAGCUUAACACAGCAAGAAGCAAAAACCCGAAAUCAUUGCUUAAAUCGACGAAUAGAACGUUGAUAACGGCGAAAGUGAGUCGAUUACCUUCUCAAGCUUCCAACCAGUGACCUGCUGGUUCAGAGCUGCGAAAAACUCUCCAAAAUACUCCCUCACACGUCCACGUAGGCCCUGCGACGCUCGCAAACAGCGAAGAACGCACGCGGCGACAAAAACGAGCGAAAUCGGCGAAGUCGACGUAGAGAGAGAAAAACCCUAGAGAGAGAGAGAGAAGAAGGGAAAAGAAGCUUUCUCAGAGCUCUUGCAUACUCCACUGAAGUCCCAGAGUCGUGCUAGGAUCAAAUAGGUAGGGAUCAAGUGUGAAAUUACCAAACUAGCCUUGCUGCCACGAAUCUGCCAGCUUGUACCGGUACAAGGUGAUGGCUGUACCGGUACAGCAAGCAGAAAAUGCUGAUUUUCGCAGAUCAAUGCAAUUUCUCACUUUUAACCCUCCAAUCACUCUCUAACUUGUUCAAAAACUUGUCCAAGUCAAUUAGAACAUGUAGGAUAGUUCCACACUUCCUUCCACAUACUCGAACUCUGCAAUUUGCAAAAGUUCAGUGUAUUACACUUUCUAGAAGAAGGCUCUUCGUAAAACUUCAAUCCGUACCUAAAUAAAGAUCAAUAACUCCAAUCUUAAAUUGAAGAAUUCAAUCAUCCAUUUUUAAAAUGUCGUUCGAUUUUGAUCGUUCAUUUUAUACCCGCUUUAUGGACUUUAUAACGAUUUUGAAAAAUUACGAAAUUUAUUUUCUAAAAGUUUCAAAUACUCUAGAUCAUGUUUAACGAUGUGGAUCGACGAUUCGAAAACCCCAAUAUCGAAAACAACUUAUGAGUACGAAUGGCUCUAUACUCAUAAGAGUAUACUAGCCCUACUAUAUAUAUAUAUAUAUAUAUAUGUGUGUGUGUGUGUGUGUGUGUGUGUGUGUGUGUACAAUAUCUUUUGUCCCAACCACCAUGGCAUUUGCACAAAUAUUUUCCACUUGUUUAUGUACCAUAUAGUAUAAUUAAUCAUGCUCUUAUUAAUUAAUCCGAUNCACACACACACACACACACACACACACACACACAUGUUUGUAUGUGUAGAUACAUUCAUGUACAUAUGUGUAUAUAUUUAUAUAUGUUUAUGUAUGUAUGUAUAUGUAUGUAUAUAUAUGUGUAUGUAUAUGUAUGUGUAUAUAUAUAUAUGUGUGUGUGUGUAUAUAUAUAUAUAUAUAUAUAUAUAUAUAGAGAGAGAGAGAGAGAGAGAGAGAGAGAGAGAGAGAGAGAGAGAGUAGGGCUACUAUACUCUUACGCUGUAGCAGGGAAAGAGACUUCACGAGAACCAAAAUAGAAGGAAAAAAAAAAGAGUGCAGCCUAUAUACUAUAUUCUAUGGAUAAAGGAUCAAAUUGAUAGAGAAAGCACCGUAAAGAUCAAUUAGCGAGCGGGGAAAAUCAAACUUUUGAAAUGCUUUUCGUAAGUCAGUGCAAGUAGGCAAAUGACUCUGGUUAUCAAAUGAUUGAACAACCGGGAUCAAUUAUGUCUUGGAAUCCUGCUUUGGUAUCCCAAGGGAUAUAUAAGGUAUCCUCCGGAUAAUUCAAAUCGAAGCAAAUAGAGCCCUUCGUACACAUAAGUUAUUUUCGAUGUUGGGCUUUUCGAAUCGACGAUCCACACCGUUAAAAAUAAUCUAGAGUAUUUGAAACUUCUAGAAAAUAAUCUAGUUUUAUAGUCGGUCCCUCAAUAUAGGUGAGCAGCAAAAAAAUAUUCAGUUUAAACCAAAUUAUCAAGUCAAACUGACUAAUAAUUUGAUUUUCAGUUUGGUUAUAUGCAUAAUUCGAACUAUUUUGGUUUAAAAGGUAGGAAACUAGAAAAAGCAAAUCAAGUGAAUUAACAAAUUUUUGAUAAUUUUAUGUAUAAAUUAUAAUUAAAUAAUGAGAGAGUCAAAUUCUUUUCUGAUAAUACAUUUUUUAGAUAAAAUUAAUAAUGUUUAUACGCUUUAAUUAAGAAAGAUAUCUAUUCC
rnacentral:lncRNA from 1 species